rnacentral:rRNA from 1 species
AUUGAACGCUGGCGGCAUGCCUUACACAUGCAAGUCGAACGGCAGCACGGGAGCAAUCCUGGUGGCGAGUGGCGAACGGGUGAGUAAUACAUCGGAACGUGCCCAGUAGUGGGGGAUAACCCGGCGAAAGCCGGACUAAUACCGCAUACGACCUACGGGUGAAAGCAGGGGAUCGCAAGACCUUGCGCUAUCGGAGCGGCCGAUGUCAGAUUAGCUAGUUGGUGGGGUAAAAGACCCACCAAGGCGACGAUCUGUAGCUGGUCUGAGAGGACGACCAGCCACACUGGGACUGAGACACGGCCCAGACUCCUACGGGAGGCAGCAGUGGGGAAUUUUGGUACAAUGGGCGCAAGCCUGAUCCAGCCAUGCCGCGUGCGGGAAGAAGGCCU